GGGGAAUUUUGGGCAAUGGGCGCAAGCCUGACCCAGCGACGCCGCGUGGAGGAUGGAAGGCCUUCGGGUUGUAAACUCCUGUCAGGUGGGAAGAAAUGUCCAUCGGUUAAUACCCGAUGGAAGUUGACGGUAC
rnacentral:rRNA from 1 species